UCCACUUCCUCCACUCAGUGCUGGGAUCCUGUCUGCCUUGAAACUGUCUAGGUUGAGAUACUGCUCGUCCAUGUUAGUUACUGCUUUAUUCACAAUAUCCAGAAAUUGUAAACAGCCUACACGUCGACUAAAUAAUGAAAAACGUGGUACAUUUAUGCAAUGGAAUAUUACUCAGUUGUUAAAAAGAUAAAUUAUGAAAUUUGCAGGUCUGUGUCUUGCUAACCUUCAUCAGAGAAGUGUCUUCUUGGUGUCGAUGGGAAUCAGCACAGGACCCACAACUGGACAACGUGGACACACUGGACUUUGAAGCACUGGACCUUAGGCUAAGUGUUUCGAAUGAGUUACUUUAAAAUAAUUUCUACAAAGCUAUAAUUUCGAACAAAACAAAACAAGCCAACAAACAAACAAACUGAUAACCAGAGAGAAUAACUCUUUCAACAUCAUAUGAAUAGGAAGUACAUGAGAAGGAUACUACUCUCCAGAAUAUUAUUCUGGGGCUUUUAAGCACCUUGAAGGUCUAUGUAUGUACAAGAGUGUCUUGUUUCUACUUUGUUUGUGUAGUAAGUGUGAGCAGGGCCCACCGAGGCCAGAAGAGGACAUCAGGUCCCUGGGACUAGAGAUACAGAUGGUUGGGAACCACCAUAUGCAUACUAGGAAUUGAACUUGGGUCCUCUGGAACAACAGCCAGUAUUCUUACCCACUGAGCCAGCUCUCCAGCCCCCGAGCACUGCGAAACAAGUCUGGAUAAUGAGAAGAAACAGGAAGAUUGUUGAGAAGCCAACUAAUAUACAAAGAUACAUAAGGUGAAAAGUGGGAAAGGCAAUUAUGUGAUCCACAUCUGUAUGUAAUGAAAAAUAACCAGUUCAUAAA